CUGGGAGGACCAUCUCCUAAGGCUAAAUACUCUCUAGUGACCGAUAGUGAACCAGUACCGUGAGGGAAAGGUGAAAAGCACCCCGGAAGGGGAGUGAAAUAGAACCUGAAACCGUGUGCUUACAAGUAGUCAGAGCCCGUUAAUGGGUGAUGGCGUGCCUUUUGUAGAAUGAACCGGCGAGUUACGAUUUGAUGCAAGGUUAAGCAGUAAAUGUGGAGCCGUAGCGAAAGCGAGUCUGAAUAGGGCGUUUAGUAUUUGGUCGUAGACCCGAAACCAGGUGAUCUACCCUUGGUCAGGUUGAAGUUCAGGUAACACUGAAUGGAGGACCGAACCGACUUACGUUGAAAAGUGAGCGGAUGAACUGAGGGUAGCGGAGAAAUUCCAAUCGAACCUGGAGAUAGCUGGUUCUCUCCGAAAUAGCUUUAGGGCUAGCCUCAAGUGAUGAUUAUUGGAGGUAGAGCACUGUUUGGACGAGGGGCCCCUCUCGGGUUACCGAAUUCAGACAAACUCCGAAUGCCAAUUAAUUUAACUUGGGAGUCAGAACAUGGGUGAUAAGGUCCGUGUUCGAAAGGGAAACAGCCCAGACCACCAGCUAAGGUCCCAAAAUAUAUGUUAAGUGGAAAAGGAUGUGGCGUUGCCCAGACAACUAGGAUGUUGGCUUAGAAGCAGCCAUCAUUUAAAGAGUGCGUAAUAGCUCACUAGUCGAGUGACACUGCGCCGAAAAUGUACCGGGGCUAAACAUAUUACCGAAGCUGUGGAUUGUCCUUUGGACAAUGGUAGGAGAGCGUUCUAAGGGCGUUGAAGCAUGAUCGUAAGGACAUGUGGAGCGCUUAGAAGUGAGAAUGCCGGUGUGAGUAGCGAAAGACGGGUGAGAAUCCCGUCCACCGAUUGACUAAGGUUUCCAGAGGAAGGCUCGUCCGCUCUGGGUUAGUCGGGUCCUAAGCUGAGGCCGACAGGCGUAGGCGAUGGAUAACAGGUUGAUAUUCCUGUACCACCUAUAAUCGUUUUAAUCGAUGGGGGGACGCAGUAGGAUAGGCGAAGCGUGCGAUUGGAUUGCACGUCUAAGCAGUAAGGCUGAGUAUUAGGCAAAUCCGGUACUCG
rnacentral:rRNA from 1 species